GAAAACAGCGGCCCGUACCGCAAACCGACACAGGUAGUCGAGGAGAGAAUCCUAAGGUGAGCGAGAGAACUCUCGUUAAGGAACUCGGCAAAAUGACCCCGUAACUUCGGGAGAAGGGGUGCUGAUCGUAUGAUCAGCCGCAGUGAAUAGGCCCAAGCGACUGUUUAUCAAAAACACAGGUCUCUGCAAAAUCGUAAGAUGAAGUAUAGGGGCUGACGCCUGCCCGGUGCUGGAAGGUUAAGAGGAGUGCUUAGCGCA
rnacentral:rRNA from 1 species